CUACCUCUCUAUUGAGGAGAGCAAAUAUGGCUGCAUAGAGCUGUCGAAUCCAACUGUGUUGGCAGCGUUUAUGUUAUUGUUGUUGUUGUCGUCGUCGCUGCAACUGAUUUCACUAUCUCACAUUUUCCCUUUCGGUUUUACUACUUUAAUCGAUACCUUUUAAGUUAUGCUGAAUUAUUUUGAAAACUUCACAUGAUGUCUUCUGUACAAUUAAAUUGCCAUUCUGAACACAAUGGACACCCAAGUUGAACUGUGUUGACACCACCUCAAAAGGUUGGUCAGUAGUGAGGAGCAUGCUAUUUGAGUUUUUGGGCAGGAUUGUACAGCCCUCCAUUGGUGUGGUUUCUCUUUGCCAACACCACAACUGCCAUCUGUCAUUGUUGCCACUGCACACUUAUCUCAGGCCAUGGACAGCUGGGUACCUAACCCUAAUGCUAAACCAUUUAUACCUCGAAAACGAAUGGUUCGGAACGCCUCUGGCUUUCAUGUUCGGACAUAUUCAAAAAAGAAAAUACUGGCUAAAAUAUUUCAGGUGAGCCUGGGAAUAGUUCUCAUCAUCACUGUUAUUAUCAACAUCACCUUCCUCAUUGACACAGGUAAAAAACAGCAGGAUAACUAUGCCAAGUUGUCUGGAGUGAGCACUGACAUCCACGAUAAACAGUCUAAAAAUGAGAAAUUAGGAAGAACUCUUUCUGUGAUAGUAGUAUCCAGCAAGGAUGCGGUUAGUGUCUCAGUUGAUGGGACAGCGGUUUUGCAUGAUGAAGAACCUGAUAAAAACCGAGGCAUUCAUGUUAUUGUCCUGAACCAAGCAACAGCAAGUGUGAUGGCCAAGAGGGUGUUUGAUACGUACAGUAAGCAAGAAGAUGAAGCAAUGGUCCUCUUUCUUAAUAUGAUAACAAAUGGUCGAAUCAUCAUCUUCACAAUCAAGGAUGAAGGAUCCUUUCAACUGAAACAGACUGCUCGCAAUGCAUUGAAGCAGCUUGGCAGUGAGAAAGCUGAUUUCCUCAACUGGAGAGACAUGUGGGCAUUUAUCACAAUUAAAAAAAGUGAGAAAGUGGCCGAAGCAUAUAGCAAGUCUCUUGAUUUAUCAAGUUGGGGAGAAAAAGUGACUCUUACUGCAGCAAUACCAUUAGUACCAGCUGAAUUGAGUGAAUGCCAAUGGCCAGAUGACGAAAUCAACAAUCGGCGUCGGACAUUCUGCUCUAAAGUUGAAGGUUAUGGUAGUGUUUGUCAGUGCAAGGAUCCCGCCCCAAUUGUUUUCAGUCCAAGUACCCUCCCACAACAGAAAAUCUCACAGGUGCCUGUAGCUGUGAUAGCAAGUGACCGGCCGCACUAUUUGUACAGAAUGUUGCAGUCAAUCUUGUCAACUCCUGGAGCUAAUCCUGACAUGAUAACAGUAUUUAUUGAUGGUUACUAUGAGGAACCUCUUGAAGUAACUAAAUUAUUUGGUUUGAUUGGAGUACAACAUACACCACUUGGAGUUAAAAAUGCCAGGAUAUCACAACACUAUAAAGCCAGUUUGACUGCAACUUUCAAUCGUUACAAGGAUGCUGAAUUUGCCAUCAUAGUGGAGGAAGAUUUAGAUAUAUCCCCAGACUUCUUCAAUUACUUUAGUCAGACAAUGCAUCUGCUAGAUGAAGAUCCCAGUAUUUACUGUGUGUCAGCAUGGAAUGAUCAGGGAUAUGAACAUUCAUGUAAGGAUCCAUCACUUUUGUACCGCAUUGAAACCAUGCCUGGGUUAGGUUGGAUGCUAAAACGUAAACUUUACAAAGAAGAACUAGAAGCACAGUGGCCAACCCCAGAGAAGCAAUGGGAUUGGGAUAUGUGGAUGAGAGCUAACUUUAUCCGCAAAGAUCGUGAAUGCAUCAUUCCAGAUAUUUCCCGAACCUACCAUUUUGGCUCCAAAGGAAUCAACAUGAACCCGUAUUUUCAGGAAGUUUAUUUUAAAAAGCAUUCUUUCAUGACUUUACCAAAUGUUCAACUGAAAGACAUUGAUAAGAUGAAGAAAGACUAUUAUGAGGUUCUUAUCAAGCAACUUAUCCAAGAUGCCAAACUUUUAAAUCACAGCCACCCUCCUUGUUCAGAAGACUUUGUUCCUAAUACCAAGGAUGAAAUCUAUGUGAUGUACAUAAAUAUGACUUCAGAUAAAGACUACACAACGUGGAAACAUCUAGCUAAAUGUUUCCACCUUUGGGAUUUGGAUGUCAGAGGAUUUCAUAAGAGUAUGUGGAGGCUGUUCUUGAAGACGAACCAUUUAAUCAUCAUUGGGUCACCAGCAUCCCCUUACUCAAUGUAUUGCAUAAAAGAGACAUAAACAUCACCAUGCAUGCGCUAGGCUUCUGUAUAAUUUCUAUCUACCAAAUUCUACUUGCAAAUUAUUUGUUAAACCAAUGUCAAGGUAGAUGUUUACCCAAGGGAAUAUAUGCCUGCCAACGUCCUGCCUAUCUAUUUGAAUGACAGUGUUCCAUUUCGGAAAGACGGACAGUGAUGUUUUUUUUUUUUUUGUUGGGGGGUUUUUUUUGUUUAUUUUGGUGCAACACUUACUUCCAUUUUUUUGUUUAAAUUUUUCCUGUUAAGGGAUUUUCCCUUUUUUUAUUUAAAUUUUUAUUUUCUUGGUCAUUCACCGCAAGCUAAAUCAGGGAAAAUGGCUAACAACGGUCAAUGAAUAUAUUGCUGUUAGCCAAAUAGAAGAAUAUAUACCAGCUGCCUACCAGCCAUGAUGUCGUGACUGAAGACACUCUUUGUCUUUCCAUAAACUUUUUAUCAUCCUCCACUAACUGUGGCAACUAUUUUGUAAUGAAACUGUCAAAAGUUACUCAUUGCCUUUGUCAAAAUCUCUCUCCACAAGUCUCUAAAGAGAAUUUGGCAACAGCUGGUGCACCAGCAAUAAAUGUGUUUCUUUUUGACUGAACUUGCUGUAAACUCGAACUUGUAUAUCAGAACAUUAUAUAGACAGAUGCUUAUUUUUCUACACUUUCAAACACAAUUCUUGUUCAAAAUUGUCUUUAUUUUAUUCAAACUUCAGAACCAUUUCUAAAAUAAAGAAAAGAAAACAAAAAAAUUUGAUAUUUCACUCAAAAAUAUUAAACAUAUUUUCAUAUUCUUCAUUUUGCUUAUAUUUUGGUUUUUAAUUUCUUUUUAGAAUUAUAUUUCUAACCAAAGCAUUCCAUUCAGAGGUUAUUAGGUUUUAUGCCAUCUUGAUUUUUUAUUUUUUUGUAGCUUCAUAUACAAUCUUUUGUUUAUCCAAACCAACAAUAUUUGUUUAUUAAGCUUUUUGGCUACUUUUAUCUUUUGACAACUUAACUUGUUCUGUUCUGUUCUGUUAUAUUCAGAUCCAAGUGAAUUGUUGCUUAUAGGAUUCUUUUAGAGUCUUAAACUUAUGGUAAUCUGUUGAUGUCAGAUCCGUCCUGUGCUUAUUCUAGCCAUGUGAUUUAAUUUAUCUAAUCAUACUAUUAGACAGUAGCAGUGAAGAGUAAGCUUCAACAUAAAGUUCUUAUUAUUGCUGUGUUAGGUUUAAUUUUGAAGCAAUGCUUUGUUUUAUAAACAGAGUUGCUGUAUUCCUUUGGAAAUAUACUGCUAUAAAUAGCAGAUUAUUCUGGACGUAUUUUUAGAGUUUUUCCUUCAGUUCAGUACAGAGAAGGUACACUGUAUUUUCUAUGAUUUUUAAAGUUGCAGUUAAAUGAGUUUCAAUUAAAAUAUUUUGUUAUUGAGUCUGUUGAUAAAUGUUUAUUUUAAUCAAGAUUGUAAGAAAAAUGACUAAAAACAUUUCUUAAGAUAGAUUAACUUAAAGCUUUUUUUUAUCUUUAUCUUCCCACUAAGAUAUAAGUGAGGAUGGAUGUUUUCUUCUCUGAACAAAAUAAGCAGCUGCUUAUUUUAGGUGGAAACCAUCUAAAUGUAGUAUCUCCGGAAAUGUUUGGUUUAAGCAAGUUAUGUUAUUGCAGAAGAUCAGAGUUGUAUGUUUGUUAUCUUAACUGAGGUCUUUUACAUUUUGGUGGUUAACAGAAGAUCAAGAAGAGAACAGUAACAGGGCAAAGACUGUUUAAAAAAAGCAGGUUAACAUGGAUGAACUUGUAGUUUAUGCUUCAUGUGUUGGAGUUGUCAUUCCUGGAUCUGAUAUAUGCCUUAGAUUCUUGGACGUUAUAGAUUUAUUAUUUAUUUUAGGGGUAGAAUUUAGAUCAAAUGAACAUUUAAAGAAGGAUAUGGGAACAAUAAUGGUUUAAAAUUUAUAACAACAAAAUCUAUGUCAACAUACAAAAAGUACUUAUUUUUUACUUCGACACAUUGAAGUUCCUUACUGAUAUAGUUGGUCUUUACAUCUGUUAUAUAAUCUUGUGUUAGAUAUUGUUGAUGAUGAAACGAUCUUAAGCCUUAUCCCUUUGUUUAUCAUAUCUUUGUUGUUCUUGUUCAUUCUAUUUCCUCUCAUCUAAAUCUGAAGACGUUAAGUUGCCAAAAGUCUAAGUUGUUUAAAUUUAGUCAUAAUCAUAAUCAUCGUCAUCAUCUUCAUUGUUAUCAUCAUCAUUACCACCUCCACCACAAUUCUAGUGAUAGCUGGAGAAAUACUGGAUUUGUGGAUUUUGAUUCAUAAGUUCAUAUUCUACUGUUAGCACUCUGAUGUGUCCCUUUAGAAGCCACCUUGAAUUUUACAAUGACAUGACCCCUAAUUAAACAAAUUAUUAUUAAUUACACACACACAAAAAA